CAUCGCAUCUAAAUUUUUACUGUUGGGCGUCAGACUUUUCUUUUACUGUCAAACCUCAAUUGUUUGGCUUUUUUUUAUUCAAAUGGAGUAAUACUGAGAUUAACCCAGAUUUGAACUUUUACACUUUGUUUAAAGACGUCCACUAACAAAUAUUAUCUGCGGUUUAUCACAUCAAAGUUAAAAGACGCAAUUUGGGCUUAUUAUGGAAGAAGAAUCAAGACAUCUUUUUGGAAUUAUCAAACUGGCCAUUUUCUCGAAUGUAACAGCUCAAAAUCUCUCACUUUUCCCAACCGAUUAGCCUUGGUAAGCCU